GGAUCAACAUCAUUUAGCACCAUAUGAACUCAAUAUCUUGGCAGCCUUUUGAUAACAAUCUUCUUUGCUCUCUCAACAGGAAUAAUGGCAUAACUCACUCCACUUUACUUACCCCCAAAAGUAACCUCUGGUCAUCCAGGUCAACAAAAAUUAACUGAUUCCCCAUAGCAAUCUAGCUUGACACAAUUAUACAUUUCCUCUACCAGAGUCAUCUUGUCUCAGAAAUCUGGGAUCACUAGUAAAUCUAUCACUUCGCCUCUGACCAGUGGCAGUAAAACUUAAGCUGGGAAAAUUAGCUCUAAUUUCACUUCCUUUGAAGCUCUGAGUCCUCCGAGGUCUUUGAUAU
rnacentral:lncRNA from 1 species